UACGGGGGGAGCAAGCGUUGUUCGGAUUUACUGGGCGUAAAGGGCGCGUAGGCGGCCAGCACAAGUCAGUUGUGAAAUCUCCGAGCUUAACUCGGAACGGUCAACUGAUACUGUGCGGCUAGAGUGCGGAAGGGGCAACUGGAAUUCUUGGUGUAGCGGCGAAAUGCGUAGAUAUCAAGAGGAACACCUGCGGCGAAGGCGGGUUGCUGGGCCGACACUGACGCUGAUGCGCGAAAGCCAGGGGAGCGAACGGG
rnacentral:rRNA from 1 species